rnacentral:rRNA from 1 species
ACUCCUACGGGAGGCAGCAGUAGGGAAUUUUUCGCAAUGGAGGAAACUCUGACGGAGCAAUACCGCGUGUGGGAAGAAGAUUUUCGGAUUGUAAACCACUGUUGUAAGGGAAGAACGUUAUUAGUAGGAAAUGGCUAAUAAGUGACGGUACCUUACCAGAAAGGGACGGCUAACUACGUGCCAGCAGCCGCGGUAAUACGUAGGUCCCGAGCGUUAUCCGGAAUUAUUGGGCGUAAAGGGCACGUAGGCGGACAAAUAAGUUUGAUGUCAAAUAUGAUGGCUCAACCAUCAAGAGGCGUUGAAAACUGUUUAUCUAGAAUCUCGGAGAGGUAAGUGGAAUUCCAUGUGUAGCGGUGGAAUGCGUAGAUAUAUGGAGG